GCCCCCUCAUCUCUUUGUCUACAUUACUCCCUCUGCUUCUUUUUAUCUCUCUCUCACAAACACAGGGAGACAAAGGCAUUGCUGGCGUUCCAGGUCUCAAAGGGUCAACGGGUCGUCCAGGAAUCGAUGGUCAUCCUGGACCUAUGGGACCAAAGGGCAACACUGGGCCUGAUGGACCUGUGGGGCCAAAAGGCGAUCCGGUAACACAACUGUGCAAUCCAAGCUUGUGUUUGGGUGUUUGUUGGCUGUUUAUAUGAUAUCUCAGCGUGUGUUGAGUUAUGCUUUAAAUGACUUGUGUAUAGACUCAGUAGCUGUGCUGUGUGCCUUUUAAAAGAGUAAACUAUUUUUGCUACUGUCAUCCCAGGGACCUCAAGGUAAAGAAGGAUAUGGUGGGACUCAUGGUGUGCCGGUGAGGUUUUCUUACUCACUUAUAAAUCUGUGUUGUUCUGUUCAUCAUCAUCAUGUUAACUGAUGCAUGUUACUUUUGCUGUUAUUCUCCUCUAGGGUAUCCCAGGUUUACAAGGGCCUCUGGGACCCACAGGGGCCCCAGGCUGCAAUGGGACAGAGGGAGACGAUGGACUUCCUGGUAUCGCCGGGGCCCAUGGCAUUAAUGGAAAUCCAGUAAGACACAAAAUCCCCAAAAAUGUAUCCUAUGUUAAAUGGUGUUGUUAUCAAAUACAAC
rnacentral:lncRNA from 15 species